GACGAACGCUGGCGGCGUGCCUAAUACAUGCAAGUCGAACGCAGUGGGGACGGGUGAGUAACACGUGGGUAACCUCCCAUCAGAAGGGAUAACACUUGGAAAAAGGUGCUAACCCGAUACGGAUGGAUGGACCCGCGGUGCAUUAGCUAGUUGGUGAGGUAACGGCUCACCAAGGCCACGAUGAAUAGCUGACCUGAGAGGGUGAUCGUCCACACGGGGACUGAGACACGGCCCAGACUCCUACGGGAGGCAGCAGUCGGGAAUCUUCGGCAAUGGACGAAAGUCUGAGCGAUCAACGCCGCGUGAGUGAAGAAGGUUUUCGGAUCGUAAAACUCUGUUGUUAGAGAAGCGGUAUCUAACCAGAAAGCCACGGCUAACUACGUGCCAGCAGCCGCGGUAAUUC
rnacentral:rRNA from 1 species